GGCCAUCGUCUGCCAGCCCCUCUGGCUUGAGAGGACCUUCUGGGAGCUUCUCAGCUUUAUUCUCCCCCUCCGGUUCCAGGUCAAAAUCCUCGGUGUACAGUUCGCAAAACUCUUCGUCUUCUUUGCUCGCUAAGGCAGACAGAGAGCAUUUCUCAAGAACCAGGGAGCUCCUCAGUUCCGCCUCUCUGGCAGGCUCCUCGGAGGACUGUGGGUGGUCGCUCCUGGGGACGCCGGGGUCGCUCCCCACGCCCUCCCCCUCGGAGUCACACUCCUCCUCCUUGAUGCUGUAGUUGUUAUUACUUUCCAAGUGACCGUUCAGGCUGGACAGAUUGGAGAGCUCGGAAGCACUUGAAGAUAAGGCUUUGGGCCUGUGGCUGCCACUUUCUUCCCCUAUAAUUUUACUGAAAAGCUGAAAAGGGUCAUAGAUGACUUCCGAGAGGCGUCGCUUAGUGUCUUCGAUCUUGGCCUCCAUUUCGGGCACUUUAAAAAAGGAGCGCGUGUCGGAAGGCGACGUCAGAGGGGAAGAGGGUGCAGUUU
rnacentral:lncRNA from 1 species